rfam:Pontibacillus marinus BH030004 = DSM 16465 strain BH030004 contig36, whole genome shotgun sequence.
GAGAAAGAAUGAUCGACUAAGUUCGUCACGUCCUGUGACAACGUCGAUCUGACCCACGUCGUGUGGG